CUAAAAGUAAGCCAACUGCUGGAGGAGUGCUGUGGAUGCCUGAUGCUCCUUCUGUUACUCUCUGCUGUGGAACUGGGAGUAGUGAUGCAGAAACUGUUUUGGACUGAGUAAUUUGGCCUGAGAUGAAGAAGGUGACCUGUGUCAGAUUCAUUGGCUAGGAAUAAUAUAAAGCUCUUUGCCAGAAUUCUACAAGGAAUUUCAAAGGUCAUAUCUUCACACUACUGCAUGUGAAAGGAACAAUCUCUUUUUUUUAAUAUGGAGCUUCUGUCAAAAGGAAAGAGUUUGGGGAAGAGUCCUGCUGACAUCAGAAUUAAUUAUUUUCAUAAUAGAAGGAGAAAACUUUUAGACUGAAGUCUUAUGAACAUCUGGAAUGUGUUUGCUCUCUGCAUUCCACCUUGCACUAGAUGGGAAAAAAAAAAUUCUGAUGGCCAAAUUCAAGUCAGUAUAAUUUCUACC
rnacentral:lncRNA from 1 species